AUACGGAGGAUCCGAGCGUUAUCCGGAUUUAUUGGGUUUAAAGGGUACGUAGGCGGGAUGAUAAGUCAGCGGUGAAAUUUUGCAGCUUAACUGUAAGCUUGCCGUUGAAACUAUUAUUCUUGAGUGUAGAUAAGGUAGGCGGAAUGUGUUGUGUAGCGGUGAAAUGCUUAGAUAUAACACAGAACACCAAUUGCGAAGGCAGCUUACCGGGUUACCACUGACGCUGAGGUACGACAGCGUGGGGAUCAAACAGGAUUAGAUACCCUGGUAGUCCACGCCGUAAACGAUGAAUACUCGCUGUUUGCGAUAUACCGCAAGCGGCCAAGCGAAAGCAUUAAGUAUUCCACCUGGGGAGUACGUUCGCAAGAAUGAA
rnacentral:rRNA from 1 species